GGAGGGAGCGAACGUUGUUUCGGAAUUACUGGGGCGUAGAGGGGCGUGUAGGCGGUCGAGUAAGUCAGGUGUGAAAUCUUACUGCUUAACAGUAAACCUGCAUUUGAAACUGCCCGACUUGAGGUCAGGAGAGGAGAGCGGAAUUCCCAGUGUAGCGGUGGAAUGCGUAGAUAUUGGGAAGAAACACCAGUGGCGAAGGCGGCUCUCUGGACUGACUCUGACGCUGAGGCGCGAAAGCUAGGGGAGCAAACAGGAUUAGAUACCCUGGUAGUCCUAGCCGUAAACGAUGGGCACUAGGUGCUGGGAAUAUCGACAUUUUCAGCGCCGUAGCUAACGCAUUAAGUGCCCCGCCUGGGGAGUACGACCGCAAAGGUUGA
rnacentral:rRNA from 1 species